rnacentral:rRNA from 1 species
GACAUAGGUGGCGAACGUUAUCCGGAAUUAUUGGGCGUAAAGAGCGUGUAGGCGGCCAGGUAGGUGGGUUGUGAAAACUGGAGACUCAACCUUCAGACGUCGACCCAAACCCCCUGGCUAGAGUCCGGAAGAGGAGAGUGGAAUUCCUGGUGUAGCGGUGAAAUGCGCAGAUAUCAGGAAGAACACCCGUGGCGAAGGCGGCUCUCUGGGACGGUACUGACGCUGAGACGCGAAAGCGUGGGGAGCGAACAGG